CGGCGGACGGGUGAGUAAUGUCUGGGAAACUGCCCGAUGGAGGGGGAUAACCACUGGAAACGGUGGCUAAUACCGCAUAACGUCUACGGACCAAAGAGGGGGACCUUCGGGCCUCUUGCCAUCGGAUGUGCCCAGAUGGGAUUAGCUAGUAGGUGGGGUAACGGCUCACCUAGGCGACGAUCCCUAGCUGGUCUGAGAGGAUGACCAGCCACACUGGAACUGAGACACGGUCCAGACUCCUACGGGAGGCAGCAGUGGGGAAUAUUGCACAGUGGGCGCAAGCCUGAUGCAGCCAUGCCGCGUGUGUGAAGAAGGCCUUCGGGUUGUAAAGCACUUUCAGCGAGGAGGAAGGCCAAUAGCUUAAUACGCUGUUGGAUUGACGUUACUCGCAGAAGAAGCACCGGCUAACUCCGUGCCAGCAGCCGCGGUAAUACGGAGGGUGCAAGCGUUAAUCGGAAUUACUGGGCGUAAAGCGCACGCAGGCGGUUUGUUAAGUCAGAUGUGAAAUCCCCGCGCUUAACGUGGGAACUGCAUUUGAGACUGGCAAGCUAGAGUCUCGUAGAGGGGGGUAGAAUUCCAGGUGUAGCGGUGAAAUGCGUAGAGAUCUGGAGGAAUACCGGUGGCGAAGGCGGUCCCCUGGACGAAGACUGACGCUCAG
rnacentral:rRNA from 1 species